UCAGGAUAAACGCUGGCGGCGCACAUAAGACAUGCAAGUCGAACGGACUUAACUCAUUCUUUUAGUUUGAGAGCGGUUAGUGGCGGACUGGUGAGUAACACGUAAGCAACCUGCCUAUCAGAGGGGAAUAACAGUGAGAAAUCAUUGCUAAUACCGCAUAUACUAACAGUAUCGCAUGAUACAGUUAGGAAAGGAGCAAUCCGCUGAUAGAUGGGCUUGCGUCUGAUUAGUUAGUUGGUGGGGUAACGGCCUACCAAGACUACGAUCAGUAGCCGGACUGAGAGGUUGAACGGCCACAUUGGGACUGAGAUACGGCCCAGACUCCUACGGGAGGCAGCAGUCGGGAAUAUUGCGCAAUGGAGGAAACUCUGACGCAGUGACGCCGCGUAUAGGAAGAAGGUUUUCGGAUUGUAAACUAUUGUCGUUAGGGAAGAUAAAAGACUGUACCUAAGGAGGAAGCCCCGGCUAACUAUGUGCCAGCAGCCGCGGUAAUACAUAGGGGGCAAGCGUUAUCCGGAAUUAUUGGGUGUAGAGGGUGCGUAGACGGAGAAACAAGUUGGUUGUGAAAUCCCUCGGCUCAACUGAGGAACUGCAACCAAAACUAUUUCCCUUGAGUGUCGGAGAGGAAAGUGGAAUUCCUAGUGUAGCGGUGAAAUGCGUAGAUAUUAGGAGGAACACCAGUGGCGAAGGCGACUUUCUGGACGAAAACUGACGUUGAGGCACGAAAGUGUGGGGAGCAAACAGGAUUAGAUACCCUGGUAGUCCACACUGUAAACGAUGGAUACUAGGUGUAGGGUGUAUUAAGCACUCUGUGCCGCCGCUAACGCAAAAAGUAUCCCACCUGGGGAG
rnacentral:rRNA from 1 species